rnacentral:rRNA from 1 species
UACGGGGGGGGCAAGCGUUGUUCGGAAUUACUGGGCGUAAAGGGCGCGUAGGCGGCCUUCUAAGUCAGACGUGAAAUCCCUCGGCUUAACCGAGGAACUGCGUCUGAUACUGGAUGGCUUGAGUUUGGGAGAGGGAUGCGGAAUUCCAGGUGUAGCGGUGAAAUGCGUAGAUAUCUGGAGGAACACCGGUGGCGAAGGCGGCAUCCUGGACCAACACUGACGCUGAGGAGCGAAAGCCAGGGGAGCAAACGGG